rnacentral:rRNA from 1 species
AACGAACGCUGGCGGCAGGCCUAACACAUGCAAGUCGAGCGCCCUUUCGGGGGAGCGGCGGACGGGUGAGUACCGCGUGGGAAUAUGCCCUUCUCUACGGAAUAGCCUCGGGAAACUGAGAGUAAUACCGUAUACGCCCUGUGGGGGAAAGAUUUAUCGGGGAAGGAUUAGCCCGCGUUGGAUUAGGUAGUUGGUGGGGUAAUGGCCUACCAAGCCGACGAUCCAUAGCUGGUUUGAGAGGAUGAUCAGCCACACUGGGACUGAGACACGGCCCAGACUCCUACGGGAGGCAGCAGUGGGGAAUCUUAGACAAGGGGGGCAACCCUGAUCUAGCCAUGCCGCGUGAGUGAUGAAGGCCUUAGGGUUGUAAAGCUCUUUCAGCUGGGAAGAUAAUGACGGUACCAGCAGAAGAAGCCCCGGCUAACUCCGUG